AGAGUUUGAUCCUGGCUCAGGACGAACGCUGGCGGCAGGCUUAACACAUGCAAGUCGCACGAGAACGCUUUGGCUUUGCCAGGGCAAGUACAGUGGCGGACGGGUGCGUAACGCGUAGAUAACCUGCCCUCAGGCGCGGGACAAUCGCGGGAAACCGCGGCUAAUACCGCACGGCGUCUGGAGCCCGCAUGGGCACCAGAUGAAACCUUGGGUUUGCCCAGGGGCCUUUGGAUGGGUCUGCGUCGGAUUAGCUUGUUGGUGAGGUAACGGCUCACCAAGGUUGCGAUCCGUAGCUGGUCUGAGAGGACGAUCAGUCACACUGGGACUGAGACACGGCCCAGACUCCUACGGGAGGCAGCAGUGGGGAAUCUUGCACAAUGGGGUCACCCCUGAUGCAGCCAUGCCGCGUGGAGGAAGACACCCCUAUGGGGCGUAAACUCCUUUUCUGAGAGAAGAACCCCCUGUAGGUUCAGGGCGUGACGGUAUCUCAGGAAUAAGCACCGGCUAACUCCGUGCCAGCAGCCGCGGUAAUACGGAGGGUGCAAGCGUUGUCCGGAAUCACUGGGCGUAAAGGGUGCGCAGGCGGGGCAGCAAGUCGGAGGUGAAAGCCCGUGGCUCAACCACGGAAGUGCCUUCGAAACUGCUGCUCUUGAGUCCCGGAGAGGUUGCCGGAAUUCGUGGUGUAGCGGUGAAAUGCGUAGAUAUCACGAGGAACACCAGAGGCGAAAGCGGGCAACUGGACGGGUACUGACGCUCAGGCACGAAAGCGUGGGGAGCAAACAGGAUUAGAUA
rnacentral:rRNA from 1 species